ACAAAGUACAGUAACCGUUAGCUACAGUCUGAAGUGACCAAACCAGCUACGUUAACUUAGCAUCGUGGAGAAGUUGAUCGCAUUGGCAUUUGAGAUUAUGAAGAGACCACUAAGACCAAGUCGGCGUUUUCGUGCCAUUUGUUUUAUUCCCAUAUUGUACGUUUACCUGAAAAAGCCCGUAAGCAAUCCAGUUAGCUAACGUUAGCUAAACUGCGCUAGCUAAUCAUUUGAAGAAGUUACCUAAUAAAAAUGGGCUGGUGUCCAUUGCGUUGCUGUAAAUUGUAGACUGCACUGUCAGAAAGCGUUUGGACCGUAGGAACACAACGUCAAUACGCCACCGGUCUGCAGCAUUCAAAGCUCGUCUGUCUCUCCAUCGAAGGGCACAGCAUCCGUCUCCAUAUGAAUGCUGCUGGGUUCACUGCUGCCCACCCAGCCAAUGGGAGUGCGGUUGAAGGAAGGCCGGCAGCCGAUGUCAUGCUGGUACACCACUGCAGGUUCAGGCUCCUCUUUGAUUGCCUCAGCUUCUGGCAGCUGGAAUUUCAUGAACUGGUUGGCCUUCUCAAAGCCUCCAAAGGGCAUGGCAGUCCUAGCAAAGCAAGAGAAGUGAUUGGAUUUUUUCCAUGAGCUCCGCUCUCACCAUAGACUCACUGCUGAAGAUGUCAGGAUUGUUCUCGUAGAUGAACCUCUCCACUCUCUUCUGCCUCAUCUUGAACAUCUUGGAGCCACGGUUGUUCUGCAGGGAAAGCUCCUCCAGCAUGAUGUCUUUGGGAGUCCUGAUUUUUGUUCCCAGGUCGAACUCAGAUGCCUCUGGCUCUGACUCAUAUUCUAGGUAAGGGACAUUUAAACAAAGGAGCAUUAUAUUUAGAAAUGUCAGAGUAGUGACAUGCCAAA